CAAUAGACGAUGAUCGGGACGAGUAUGUGAGCAAGCACUGCCAAGCGAGUCGGGGAUAGGUGAGAGCCCGGCGAGUAGCAUUCACAGAAAAUCACCCGGGAGUUCAAUAGCCGAAAUCUUAUCGUGUACGAACACGGUGAGGGAGUAAGUGAGCGAGUCAUUCCCGUUACGAAUGAGACAAGUGGAACGAAAAGUGACUUAUGGCUAUCGUGCAUAAGCGUUCGUUCAAUCUGGGUGGUACCACGGGAGCCUUCUCUCGUCCCUUUC
rnacentral:ncRNA from 1 species